UCCCCUUGACGAUUAAAAAACGACUAAUCUCCUGGGCGAUUGAAAGAAGACUCAUAAAUGACCCUUCCAUAGUCUCAAAGUAUGAUUGCUUUCAAAUACAAAAACGAAAUGCAAAGCAAUCGCCAAAUAAGCAUGCAGGUGAUUAAAAUAUUAUCAUUGCUUGGUUUUGCUUUGUUACUAUGCACUCAUAUUCUGCUCGCUUGGCUGAUCGAAAAGCGAUUCUUAUCUAAGCUUAUAUCUAAGUUAAACGGUACUUUUUCUUAAGCACAAGCCGAAAUGUGCAAAUUUUGUCAUUCGAGCGUGAAAGUGCAAAUGAAGUGCAAGUGCGAAGUGCAUACAAAUAAAUUAUAUCAAUUAUAUCAAAUACAAAUAAAAAGGAACAUCUAAUAUCGAGAGUUGGAGGAGAUGGGCCCACACAAUUUGUUAGAGCUGCGAUCAGAAAAGUUUUUUCGGACAAGGUAGCUUCCGAAACCAGGUGGAAGGGGACAAAAAUUAAACCAUCAGCAGAAAGGUGUUACAUUAUAGCCGUAAUAAAAAAUAUUGCUAAUGAAAAAUUUACAUGCACUGAUAAGGAUUUAAAUACGGUGCUAAAAAAGCAUUUUGUCCGUGCCAAUGACAGGCUGGAAAAAAAUUCUUUUCAUUGCAAAUUAUUGAAAAUUUCAAUCGAAUAUGAGUCAAAAAAUGAUUAAAUUAUGACUCGUGGAAGACUCUUUUAUGAUUAAAAGAUGACUCGUGGAAGACUCUUUUAUGAUUAAAAACAAGAGUCAUAAGCGACUCAUCAAGAAGAGUCGCGGGUAGGGUACCAUUUUCUCCCGACAGAACAGUCUUUUAUGAUCAGAAAAUGAGCGCACAUAUGACUGUUUUCAAUCAUCGCGCGAGUCUUUUAAGACUAACUUAUGCUCUGUUAAACGCAAAAAUGCUUGCUGGGGUACCAUUUUCUUCCGACAGAACAGUCUUUUAUGAUCAGAAAAUGAGCGCACAUAUGACUGUUUUCAAUCAUCGCGCGAGUCUUUUAAGACUAACUUAUGCUCUGUUAAACGCAAAAAUGCUUGCUGGGAAGCGACUUAUCAAGAAGAGUCGCGGCUAGGGUAUCAUUUUCUCCCGACAGAACAGUCUUUUAUGAUCAGAAAAUGAGCGCAAAUAUAUCUAUUUUCAAUCGUCGCGCGAGUCUUUUAAGACUAACUUAUGCUCUGUUAAACUCAAAAAUGCUGGGUGGGUACACUAACCAGAGAACACAUAGACCGGACACGUAGUGUAAAGCGUUUUAAACACUUUUUUUCGAGCGUUAACACC
rnacentral:sRNA from 1 species